rnacentral:rRNA from 2 species
GUUUAUAACCAGGUGGCGAAGGCGGCUGUCUGGUCUGUAACUGACGCUGAGGCUCGAAAGCAUGGGUAGCGAACAGGAUUAGAUACCCUGGUAGUCCAUGCCGUAAACGAUGAAUGCUAGGUGUUGGAGGGUUUCCGCCCUUCAGUGCCGCAGCUAACGCAUUAAGCAUUCCGCCUGGGGAGUACGACCGCAAGGUUGAAACUCAAAGGAAUUGACGGGGGCCCGCACAAGCGGUGGAGCAUGUGGUUUAAUUCGAAGCAACGCGAAGAACCUUACCAGGUCUUGACAUCUUUUGAUCACCUGAGAGAUCAGGUUUCCCCUUCGGGGGCAAAAUGACAGGUGGUGCAUGGUUGUCGUCAGCUCGUGUCGUGAGAUGUUGGGUUAAGUCCCGCAACGAGCGCAACCCUUAUGACUAGUUGCCAGCAUUUAGUUGGGCACUCUAGUAAGACUGCCGGUGACAAACCGGAGGAAGGUGGGGAUGACGUCAAAUCAUCAUGCCCCUUAUGACCUGGGCUACACACGUGCUACAAUGGAUGGUACAACGAGUUGCGAGACCGCGAGGUCAAGCUAAUCUCUUAAAGCCAUUCUCAGUUCGGACUGUAGGCUGCAACUCGCCUACACGAAGUCGGAAUCGCUAGUAAUCGCGGAUCAGCACGCCGCGGUGAAUACGUUCCCGGGCCUUGUACACACCGCCCGUCACACCAUGAGAGUUUGUAACACCCGAAGCCGGUGGCGUAACCCUUUUAGGGAGCGAGCCGUCUAAGGUGGGACAAAUGAUUAGGGUGAAGUCGUAACAGGUGUUACCGGUUAA